rnacentral:rRNA from 1 species
CCUACGGGAGGCUGCAGUGGGGAAUAUUGCACAAUGGGGGAAACCCUGAUGCAGCGACGCCGCGUGAGUGAAGAAGUAUCUCUGUAUGUAAAGCUCUAUCAGCAGGGAAGAAAAUGACGGUACCUGACUAAGAAGCCCCGGCUAACUACGUGCCAGCAGCCGCGGUAAUACGUAGGGGGCAAGCGUUAUCCGGAUUUACUGGGUGGAAAGGGAGCGUAGACGGCAGCACAAGUCUGGAGUGAAAUCCCGGGGAUUAACCCCGGAACUGCUUUGGAAACUGUCCAGCUGGAGUGCAGGAGGGGUAAGUGGAAUGCCUGGUGUAGCGGUGAAAUGCGUAGAGAUUAGGAGGAACACCAGUGGCGAAGGCGGCUUACUGGACUGUAACUGACGUUGAGGCACGAAAGCGUGGGGAGCAAACAGGAUUAGAUACCCGGGUAGUC